ACGCACGCUGGCGGCGUGCUUAACACAUGCAAGUCGAACGGAAAGGCCUAGCUUGCUGGGUACUCGAGUGGCGAACGGGUGAGUAACACGUGGGUGAUCUGCCCCUGACUUUGGGAUAAGCCUGGGAAACUGGGUCUAAUACCGGAUAUUCAUUUUUCCUCGCAUGGGGAUUUGUGGAAAGCUUUUGCGGUUGGGGAUGGGCCCGCGGCCUAUCAGCUUGUUGGUGGGGUAAUGGCCUACCAAGGCGACGACGGGUAGCCGACCUGAGAGGGUGAUCGGCCACACUGGGACUGAGACACGGCCCAGACUCCUACGGGAGGCAGCAGUGGGGAAUAUUGCACAAUGGGCGCAAGCCUGAUGCAGCGACGCCGCGUGAGGGAUGACGGCCUUCGGGUUGUAAACCUCUUUCAGCUCCGACGAAGCGCAAGUGACGGUAGGAGCAGAAGAAGCACCGGCCAACUACGUG
rnacentral:rRNA from 1 species